rnacentral:rRNA from 1 species
ACUCCUACGGGAGGCAGCAGUGGGGAAUCUUGCGCAAUGGGCGAAAGCCUGACGCAGCCAUGCCGCGUGAAUGAUGAAGGUCUUAGGAUUGUAAAAUUCUUUCACCGGGGACGAUAAUGACGGUACCCGGAGAAGAAGCCCCGGCUAACUCCGUGCCAGCAGCCGCGGUAAUACGAAGGGGGCUAGCGUUGCUCGGAAUUACUGGGCGUAAAGGGAGCGUAGGCGGACAUUUAAGUCAGGGGUGAAAUCCCGGGGCUCAACCUCGGAAUUGCCUUUGAUACUGGGUGUCUUGAGUGUGAGAGAGGUAUGUGGAACUCCGGAGUGUAGAGGUGAAAUUCGUAGAUAUUCGGAAGAACACCAGUGGCGAAGGCGACAUACUGGCUCAUUACUGACGCUGAGGCUCG